rnacentral:rRNA from 1 species
AACGAACGCUGGCGGCGUGUCUUAAGCAUGCAAGUCGUGCGGCAAGGGGUAGCAAUACCCCCUAGAGCGGCGGACUGGUGAGUAACGCGUGGGUGAUCUGCCCUUGGGUUGGGGAUAGCCAUUAGAAAUAGUGGGUAAUACCGAAUACGUUCGCCGGGCUAUGGCCUGGCGAGGAAAAGCGCUUCGGCGCUGCCCGAGGAUGAGCCCGCGUCCCAUUAGCUAGUUGGUGAGGUAACGGCCCACCAGGGCGAUGAUGGGUAGCCGGCCUGAGAGGGUGUACGGCCACACAGGGACUGAGAUACGGCCCAGACUCCUACGGGAGGCAGCAGCUAAGAAUAUUCCGCAAUGGACGAAAGUCUGACGGAGCGACGCCGCGUGGACGAUGAAGGCCGAAAGGUUGUAAAGUCCUUUUGUCGGGGAAGAAUAACCAUGGGAGGGAAUGCCCGUGGGAUGACAUGAACCGACGAAUAAGCCCCGGCUAACUACGUGCCAGCAGCCGCAGUAA